rnacentral:rRNA from 1 species
CCCUAGUUGAUUUGAGAGAAGCAUCAACCACACGGGGUAUGAAAACGACCCCGCCCCUGGCAGCAGUGGGGAAUUUUGGGCAAUGUGCGAAAGCAUGACCCAGCGAAUUAGCGUAGGGGAUGAAGGCUACAGCAGCUGUAAACCCAGCCCGCAUACUAAAACGAUGAUAUUAUGUGUGAAAAGAAGUCAUGGCUAAUACAUGUGCCAGCAGCCGCGGUAAUACAUGAGUGACUAGCGUUAUUCGCCGUGCUUGGGCGUAUAGGAUGCGUAGGCGGUUAUAGUUUUGUUAACUACUAGAUCCAUUGGUGAAAUUUUAACGAUAACUAUAUACUAGAGUUGGCAGGAAGUUAUUCAAUUCCGUUAAGAAGCGAUGAAAUGCUACUAUUUACCGGGGUUGGCCUAUAUUUGAAAAAAAAUAGCUACUGCCCACUGACGCUGAGGCAUGAAAGUGGGGGAAAUCAUCAGGAUUUGAGACCCUGUUAGUCCUCACAGAAAAAGAU